CCCUUAGAUGUCCUGGGCCGCACGCGCGUUACACUGAUGCAUUCAACGAGCUUAUAACCUUGGCCGAAAGGUCUGGGUAAUCUCCAAAUUUCGUCGUGAUGGGGAUAGAUUAUUGCAAUUAUUAAUCUUCAACGAGGAAUGCCUAGUAAGCGCAAGUCAUCAGCUUGCGUUGAUUACGUCCCUGCCCUUUGUACACACCGCCCGUCGCUCCUACCGAUUGAAUGGUCCGGUGAAGCGCUCGGACCGCGGCCUCUUGACGGUUCGCUGUCGAUUGGCUGUGGGAAGUUCGUUAAACCUUAUCAUUUAGAGGAAGGAGAAGUCGUAACA
rnacentral:rRNA from 1 species